AUUGAACGCUGGCGGCAGGCUUAACACAUGCAAGUCGAGCGGAGAGAGGUAGCUUGCUACUGAUCUUAGCGGCGGACGGGUGAGUAAUGCUUAGGAAUCUGCCUAUUAGUGGGGGACAACAUUUCGAAAGGAAUGCUAAUACCGCAUUCGUCCUACGGGAGAAAGCAGGGGAUCUUCGGACCUUGCGCUAAUAGAUGAGCCUAAGUCGGAUUAGCUAGUUGGUGGGGUAAAGGCCUACCAAGGCGACGAUCUGUAGCGGGUCUGAGAGGAUGAUCCGCCACACUGGGACUGAGACACGGCCCAGACUCCUACGGGAGGCAGCAGUGGGGAAUAUUGGACAAUGGGCGCAAGCCUGAUCCAGCCAUGCCGCGUGUGUGAAGAAGGCCUUAUGGUUGUAAAGCACUUUAAGCGAGGAGGAGGCUACUUUAGAUAAUACCUAGAGAUAGUGGACGUUACUCGCAGAAUAAGCACCGGCUAACUCUGUGCCAGCAGCCGCGGUAA
rnacentral:rRNA from 1 species